AAUGUAAGUGCGAAACUAUCGUUACUGAUUGAUAUUCUAUAUUUCAUAUUCUUUUCUAUAUUCAAAUUAUCAAAUUGUACUUUCAUAUGAAUUUUACAGCAUAGUGAUAGAAGCUCGAAUGAUUUAGAUAAUCGUCAGAGUAAGAAAUGCAAAUUGUUACGUUUGUUUGGGGAAGCCAAUGUAGUUGCUAAUGGUGAAAUCGCAUCAACAAAUCCUUGUGAUGUAGUACAUCAUGUACCCUUGGCGAUGAAUGUUGGAGAGUUUGGGUUAAUGAAGUUAUUGACAAUGUUACCUUAUAUCGUCCCACAUGUGGGCUAUUUCUUCUUGAAGAUGCAUUAGGAAGUACAAUUGCAUGGCCAAUCAGGUUCAUCAAAAUGGAUUAACUAUAAGCACAACAAACGUAUGCUUUACUUUGUUUUUUUAUAUCAUUUGUCAUUUGCGUACUCACUUUAAUUUAUUAACUAU
rnacentral:lncRNA from 1 species